GUUUAAGAUUGUCUUUUCUCCUUUUUAACUUUCAAAUCACCUUAAGUACAUUGAAUAUGAUCACUUUUACCUUAAAUUUUGUUUCAAAAAUGAUGCCUGUCUCAGAGCAUAGCUGUAUUUAUAACACAAAGUCCAGAUUGGAGGUAAAGUGGCCAAGGUAGGGCAAGGGCCCAUACUGUUUCAUAAUAACCACUGUGAAGAUUCUAGAACCCAUUUGUCUACAUUAAGGGAAUCUUGGAAAAGAAUCCAUCGCCACACCUUGGUGCAGUGUACUCCGAGAGAGCAGCUUUGUUUCUGCUUCACCUGUGAACUGUAGGAUCUGUGGGGCGGACAGGCUCCAUCCUCCCAGGGGUUCCAUUUUGCUACAUGGAGAAAAUGAGCAUGAGACGCUGUCACCAUGGUCACGUGGUACUGGCUUAAUGGAUUUGGAAACAUGAUGUGAUCGUGGGUUCCAAACAGCCAGAGAGAGCUUUUUGGGCAGACGCUGGCGGUGAAGUGGGAUACAGACGCAGAGCCCUGUCGGGGCAGCAGGCUAUGGAGGAGAGCUGCCCAGGUCUCAGCACAGCAGGACGUGGAUGGUGGGUCCCCUUGUCCACAACCCCAGGGUCUCCAAAUGACUGCGCCAUGUCCCACCUGUCCUCCAGGUGGCCGGCCUGAAGGAGGCAGUGACCCCUCAUUUCAUGAUUAUAUUUUUAGGGGUUUGUGAAUGGAAAUCCCUGCAUACAAGAAAGCCCUACGAGACCAUGAAAGGCAUUUUUAUCAAGUUUACAGCAGAAUCAUCAAAGAUGACGUCAUCUUGCGUAUAUAAGAACUCCCACUGAAGAAGCCUGCAAAGCAGUGUAUGUUACCCGUCAGUGUUCAGUUACUGUAAGGGAUACCCAAGGUAAUCUUCCUACAGACAGAAAGGUCCAUGUUGGCUCAUAGUGUGGAGGUUUCAGUCCAUGGUCAGGCAGACCCACUGCCUUUAGGCUUCCAGGGCAAUGGUGGGAGCACAGGGUCGAGCAGAACUUUCACUUCAUGGCUGGGAAGCAGAAGUGCAAGAAGAAGAAGGAGGGUCCCACAGAUCUCUGCAAAGACAGUGACCUGACAUCUUCCACUAGGUCCCACAUCUUAAGGCUCCACCACCUCCCUGUGACACCAUGCUGGGCAGCAGGCCUUUGAGGACACCUCAGAUCCACUCCGAAGUAUCCCCUCUCCACCGGAAGGUGAGGUCCACAGCUUGAACAGGUAAUCCUAGCUCAAGACACUCAUUCCACGGCCCCCCAAGAGCAAAUCCAAUCAGGAGGCUUUUUCCAGCUGCCUGAACUAUCAGACUUACCCUCUGAGAAUCAAGGAUGUGUCACCCAUUGAGAGAAAGAGUUAUACGGCCACCAAAGCUUCACCUUGUCACACGAUCGUGUGCUUUUGCCAAGAGAAACAGAAGGAACAUAUUUUCUCCUCAGGAUGAGUUGCUUUUAUCCAACAAAAAAAUUAAAAGCACAGGAGAAAAAAAA